rnacentral:rRNA from 1 species
GACGAACGCUGGCGGCGCGCUUAACACAUGCAAGUCGAACGGAAAGGCCUGCUUUCCCUUGUGGAUUGCGGGUACUCGAGUGGCGAACGGGUGAGUAACACGUGAGUGAUCUGCCCCCAACUUGGGUAUAAGCCUGGGAAACUGGGUCUAAUUCCCGAUAGGACUGCAGGGUGGUGCCUGUGGUGGAAAACGAUUUUCUAGUGGUUGGGGAUGAGCUCGCGGCCUAUCAGCUUGUUGGUGGGGUAAUGGCCUACCAAGGCGGCGACGGGUAGCCGGCCUGAGAGGGUGGACGGCAACAUUGGGACUGCGAUACGGCCCAGACUCCUACGGGAGGCAGCAGUGGGGAAUAGUGCACAAUGGGCGGAAGCCUGAUGCAGCGACGCCGCGUGGGGGAUGACGGCCUUCGGGUUGUAAACUCCUUUCGACCGCGAGGAAGCCACCUGGUUGGAAGGGUGGUGACGGUAGUGGUAGAAGAAGCACCGGCUAACUACGUG